GCCCGCCUAGCUCAAUCGGAUAGAGCGUCAGACUUUUACGGCGGACUUUAUAGCUGGAAAUAAUAUCUGAAGGCUGCGAGUUCGACCCUCGCGGUGGGCU